GACGAACGCUGGCGGCGUGCUUAACACAUGCAAGUCGAACGGAAAGGCCCUGCUUUUGUGGUGUUCUCGAUUGGCGAACGGGUGAGUAUCACGUGAGUAACCUGCCCUUGUCUUUGGGAUAACUUCAGGAAACUGGGGCUAAUAUCGGAUAGGAGCUCCUGCUGCAUGGUGGGGGUUGGAAAGUUUCGGCGGUAGGGGAUGGACUCGCGGCUUAUCAGCUUGUUGGUGGGGUAGUUGCAUACCAAGGCUUUGACGGGUAGCCGGCCUGAGAGGGUGAACAGCGACAAGAGGACUGAGAGACGGAGCAGAGUCGUAGGGGAGGCAGUGGGGGGAAGCAUUGCACAAUGAGCGGAAGCCUGAGGCAGAAACGUCGCGUGCGGGAUGACGGCCUUCGGGUUGUAAACCGCUGUCGCCUGUGACGAAGCGUGAGUGACGGUAAUGGGUAAAGAAGCACCGGCUAACUACGUG
rnacentral:rRNA from 1 species